rnacentral:lncRNA from 1 species
AAAACGCCUCUCCCUGCAAAACCCGUGCCUCAAGUGGCUGCCUCCUCCCAGAUCAGAAAGCCCAGCAAGCCUUUAUCGACCCCACUGGACUCUUCUAGGGAGGACAGGAUCAAUAAUUUCCUGAUAAAGUAAGAAGAAAAACAGGAUAAAAGCAACCUAAGAGAACUCUAGUGAAGACCGCUGACCACACUGUUUUAACUGGCAUUUCAACUUCUUGAUCUUCUUAAAGUGUUGGCAAAAUAAAAGAAAUCAUCAAAUGAUAGCA